UGCUAGUACAUUAACUUUGUAAAUUGAAACAUAAUAUUUAGUUUUUUCGAGCAUCAUAAAAUGCAACUGCAAAAAACUACACUUCCCUAAAUCUCCUUCUUAAGCUAAUGAGUGCUAAUGCAACAGCAACAUAAAGCCUAUCAUAUGUGCGGUCGAUUGCGGAGAAAUAAGAAAUUCUCAAUGAUCUGCUUAACAAAAAAACACCACAGAAAAUCCAAAAUCCUAUUAUAAAUCCUAACACCACACUAAUGUCCGGCCCUAAUCUUUCAAACCGGUCAUGCGACCUUUUUCCAAAGACAUGAAUUGUUUCAUUAGUGAAGCAACUCUGCGUAGUUGGUGGCCCACAAAGAUAUGGAUUGCCCAUAUAUAUAGAUGGAUCAUUAAGGGUCUGCAGUUGAUAUCCUGACGGAAUUUUUCCUGAUAGAUUAUUAUACGACACAUUUAAGUAGCUCAGAUAAUUCAGUGUAGCAAGACUUUGUGGAAUAGUCCCAGAAAGGUUGUUCAUUGCUACAUCAAGGGACUCCAAUGCAUGCAUCAUACCGAUUUGAUCUGGGAUAUGUCCUGUCAAAUGAUUUAUCGAUAAGUUCAGAUUCUGCAGUGCCUGUAAAUCUCCGAUCUCAUCAGGGAUCUCUCCAUAUAGAUUAUUGCAAGAAAGGUCAAUGCUUUCAAAAAGAUAAAGAAGUUUCGAAUAUUCUCGUGCCUCUCCUUUCACAACUAAAUAUACACUGCCGACACUGCCGGCUGAGACAUUAUAGUUACUGUAUUCAAAAAAUGGCAUUAUAGGAACUCCUUUUUCCCAACUUAAUUCUCCAAUAGAUCGAGGUAUAGAUCCAGAUAAGAUAUUGUGAGAAAGAUCUAGGGCUCGUAGAUAUCCGAGUUGCACAAUUUCCGAAGGUAUGCUACCCGAAAAUGUGUUUGAGCACAAGCUGAGCACCAUGAGAAACGGUAAGCUUUCUCCAAUCCAUUUAGGUAUUGUUCCAGAAAAAUUAUUAUAUCCAAGGUCGAGAAUAAUUAGCUCUGUACAAUACUGCAAAGAAGAAGGAAUUUCUCCUGACAAGCUAUUAUUUCUUAAAUUCAAUAUCGAAAGAUCCGUUUGUUUGCCAAGGGAUGCAGGAAUUUGUCCAGAUAAAUUAUUGUUCAUCGUAUCCAGAACAAAAAGCUGAUCUUGCAACAUCCCUAAACAGGGAGGAAUUUCUCCUGAUAGCUUGUUGUUUGAUAUAUCAAGAACUAUUAAUGAAGUUGAUUCGCAUAAAGAGACUGGUACAUUGCCGUCGAAACUAUUAUUAGAAAGAAGCAAAUACUCUAAACUCGAUAGCGUAGAGUUUGGUAUCGGUCCCGUAAAAAAAUUGUUGGACAGAUCCAGGACAGUAGGAGUUUGCGGAAGAGCUGGCAAUGGGCCUUCAAACUGGUUUGAGCUCAAAUUUAGAUACCGUAGCAUGACACGGUUCAGCGACAAUGGUAAUUUUCCUUUGAUUUGGUUAUACGAGAGAUCGAUUACUUCUAGGGAACUGGACAUAUUCCAAAGCCAAUCAGGAAGUGUAUCUACAAUUUUAGUUUUCGACAAGUUUAUCUCUCCGAGUUGGGUCUGUCCUUGCAGCCAAGGAGGAAAUUUCGGUCCCAGAUUGCAGGAAGCCAAUUUGAGUCCCUUCAGCUGAAAAGGAGGGGUCCAGUCAUGACUCAUAACUUGCACAUGUAAGGAGUUAUAUGAAAGUGAUAACCAUUUUAUUCUCUUUAAGUAGGAAAGUUCGAUUUCUGUUACGACACCCUCGAGGAAAUUACUUUCGAGAUAUAAUGCAGUUAAGUUAGGAAGCCUCCAGACUCCAAUAGGGAUGGUCCCAUUUAGCGAGUUUCCAGAAAGGUCUAUAUUAGUUAGACUGGUCAUGCGCUCUAGCCAACCUGACAAGUUCCCCCUCAAUUUGUUAUCUGCAAAACGUAAAAUCUGUAGAUUUUGUUGCGUGCAGCUCGACAAUCUCUCCACUGAUCUAAUUCCUCGUCCGGUGAAACCAACGCUGUUCAAAUCCAGAGUGCUCAAGUUGCAGAGAUUAUUAAAUGCUUUCGGUGACACGCCUUUGAAAUUAUUAUAUCUCAAGAGAAGGACUUUUAGAGACUUUAGGAAACUCAAUUCAGAAGGAAUGAAACCAUGGAAUUGAUUGAAAGAAAGGUCGAGGUAAGUGAUGCCGGUAAGGUUCCAUAUCCAUCUAGGUAUGGUGGAGUUGAUGUUGUUGCUUGCGAUUUUGAGGACUCUAAGACUCGUAAUGUUGAUAUGCGGUAGAGAAAUCGGUAUUACGGAAGGAUUAGUGUAGGUAAUAUCAAGAUAUGUCAAAGAUGGCAGCUUGUUUAUUGCUUGAAACCAAUCUGUAGCAAUACUCAUGUUGACAAAACUCAUAUCAAGAUAACGCAGAGAAGACAGAUGAGCGACCCACGCGAAGUUGUCUACUGCAAUAUCAUAAGCCUCACAACCGAUAGAAUUUAUGUCAAGAUAAUGAAGGUUUGAGAGAUUUCCGAGUUGAGGAGGUACCGUUCCACCGAAACAAGCUCGAGAGAGGUUAAGAUACCGUAAAUUUUUCAGAGAACCAAAGUACGUCGGGAUGCGAAUCCCGUUGAAAUUGUUCGAGCUGAGAUCUAAGUGCUUCAGAUGAUUUAAGAGAAGCAGAGAUGGACUGAUCUUACCACUCAAAGCCGGCGACGGUCUUUUAUUAACAUCGUUAUAGGAGUUUCGCAGGUUGAGUUUCAGAACAUGACCGGUUGUGUUGCUGCAAACGACUCCCCUCCAUUCGCAGCAGUCUUGGCCUUCCCACGAGGACAGGCGGUUGCCCGGAUUAGUGAAGCCCACUUUGACAGCCAGCAGUGCAUUUCUCUCGGUCUCGAAGCACCCGCUUGCCGCAAAUGCUCGGAUGCCUAUGACCAAAAGCACAAAAAAAAUUUGAAGAACCAUACUGUUCUAAACAAGUAGUAACUAAUUAAGUCGGAAGGUUAUGAAUGGAUCAUCAAAAUCUGGAGACUAUAUAUAUAUAUAUAUAUAUAUAUAUGGUGAUGGUCACCAGGUGUUGUGGACAUAAUUGAAACGGCCUUGGACUCUUGGAAAAAAAUCUAGUUGGUUUGUUGACUUUGAACAGCAUUAAAGUGUGUUGUCACUUGAAAUUAUUUUGUCGAAAUCCCAAUGACCAUCAACAAGUAGAUGAAUGAUCUGGAAUAAAAACAAGGUUGUGGGCCAUUUGGUCCCCCACAGUUUGUGUGUGAUUACGCGGAGUUUGGGUUUUAAGAAAAGGAAAUAGAAAACGACUGCAGUGCCAAAGAAGUCUAAGAUUGUGGGCCUUCCCACGACUAUUUCUGAAUGUUGUGUUUAGUGUCUAUAUAUAUAUACUUCAACUAUAUUACUACUAGGCUUAACAUUGUCCCAAAAAAGAAAACAAAAACAAAAAAAAACAAAAAACAAAAAAAACUAUUUCUGAAUUUGGGGGAUAACAUUGUUGGCUAUUUAUUAUCGGGCUAAAAUAAGUCCAACUUUCUGCCCAGUAACAACAGGACCAGGAGAAUAAGAAGUUGAGUUAGGUGAGCUUAAUAAGUUGAGUGGGAGUGUGAUUUAUAAAAGACCUAACAACAAGUGGCCCAACGACAGACCCAACGUUCAGGUGGGUUGAGUCAGGUUGAAGCCCGUGAGCACUGUGGCUGGGCCCUUAAGUGUGAUGGAUGCGCCCUUCCUAUCAGCACGUGCUUUUGGAAUAGUUGGUUAGCGCUUAUGAUCCACAAACAUAGUAUCAAAUUGGGGAGCUUUAAAUCUCUAGGAAUAAUCAAAAACAUCCGAUCAUAUCUGUGCUCAUACUCGAUCUCAUCCGUUAAUUUAUACAUUAUGCAAUAAAUAAGAUAACGGUGUAGCUAAUAAGGUAGUGGUCUUUUUUGCAAAUUCAACUACUCCUAAAAUAGAUUACAUCUACUCCUAAUGCAAAAGUUAUAAAUAUGAUGUUUCCACUACAGGAAAAAGCUAUUGUAGAGGCGGUUGCUCAAAGACGUUUGUAACAACCGCCUCUACAGAAUCUGUUAGGGGCAUAUUAGAGGCGGUUUUAAAAACCCGCCUCUAAAAUCCCCAAAAAAAAAUUCUAUUUUUUUUUUCCCCCCAUACAUGCACUACUAAAAAAAACCCUAACUCUAUUUCCCCCCAAAACCAGCCACCUCUCCAACCCUUCUCCCAAAAAACCCACCUCCUCCAACCCUCCUCCCAAAAAAUCGGCCGCCUCCUCCCCGGCGGUGAUGACUGGCCGUUCCCUGUUGGCUGCCGCACUCCUUCUACUCCAAGGCCGCGUCCGCUGAGGUGCCGCGUCUGUUCCGGCGACCUCUCCCUGUCAAAGUUCUCAGGUACGCCGCUCCCUCGUCGCUCCCCCGCUGUGACAGUUCUCCGGCAGCGGGCCAACCUCCCCUGCCGCCGCGCGUACCCCCCGGCGCCCCUUUCCCCUCCGCCCUCAUCGGCCAGCGCACACACCACCGUCCCCCACCCCCGCGCGUGCCCUUUUCCCUCUGAAACCGCCCUCUACAAUCGUAGAGGGCGUUUAAAAACCGCUCUACCUGGCGGUCUCAAAAACGCCUCUACACAACAUAUUCCUGUAGCUGUUCCUAAUGCAAAAGUUUGAAACUGUGAUGUUUCAAGUCCUCCUUUCUUAAGCUCCAUUUCUUUGUACGCGCUCCGUUACCGAGAUCGUUAGCUAUAUAACUUGUUGUACCUAGCUGUUGAUAACGCUAGUGUUAGAUGUGAUUCGACAAUUGAUAAUCGACUCUAAGUUCGGAUUUUCGACUCCGUCGACAGUUUUGCGUUCGACAACAUUGACCAAAUUGGAAAAUAAAAUUGUGAAGGAAAAAUGAAUAUCUGUGGUUGGUAACGGAGGGCUCGGGCCGACAGGCUCGAGCCUGUAGAGGCGUGAGAUCGUGGUUGGUUGUACCAUCUAAACAUUGUAUUCCCUUUUUCGUUUUGAUAGUGAAAUCCUCUCCUCCCUCGCCCAUGGUUUUUCUUUGCAAAAGAUUUUUCACGUAAAUAUGUAUGUUUUUCUUUUGUUUCUGCUUGUGGUUUGUUUAUUUUGUGUUCACCAUUUUGUUUUCCGUUUGUGCGUUUGUCGUAACAGCUAGCUUGUUUGUCAAAACUGGAACGAUCCGAUCCACUAGCAAUAAUAACUCGUUAGGUUCAAACCAAAGGCCCAAAAUAUUUAAGCUCCGUUAUUAUUAUUAGAAUGCGAAACCUCAUAUAUAUAUAUAUAUAUAUAUUUUUUUUUUUUCAUCCGAUAUGAGACUAUUUGGAUGUGUUAUGAAUAAAGCACAAAUGGAAACAAAAUGGCGAAUACGAAACAAUCAAAUCACAACCAGAAAAUAAAGAGAACACACAAAUUUACAUGAAAAAUUCUUUGCAGGGAAAAAAUCACGGGCGAGGGAGGAGAGAACUUCGCUAUCAAACGAAAAAGAGAAUACAAUGUUCAGAUAAUACAGCCGACCACCAUCUCAUGCCUCUAGGGCAAAAACUAAAAAGGAAACUCUUAACAGGUUUCGGAUCUGAUCCGCUAACCACCACAUACAUUUCUUUUUCCUUCACAAAUUUACUUUCCAAUUUGGUCGCACCGCGAAACUGUCGGCGAGUCGAAAAUCCGAACUUAAGUCGAUUUAAGAAUUUCGAGUCACAUCUAACAGGAUGUUACAAAAACUGGUCCUGAAUCUAUGGCCCAAUCCUUCAUGCACGUCGCAUAUUCAUUCAAAUUUUAAAAUAUUUAACUUCACGUAAUUCUGGGCCCACCUAUAUUCUUGCCGAAGCUCUCUCCUUGACACGAGGAAUUCUACACUGUCACACUUGCACCACGUCAUCAAUAAUAAGUCAAUCACAUUCCUUCUUUUCAAACAAAAGUACAAUAAAAAUACUUUUUUAUAAUCAUGAUGGGACAUAUAUUCUUAAAAGGAUUAAUUUGAUUGGUUUGUUACGCCACGUCACUAAUAUACCCGUUGCAUUCUAGAAUUUUUCCCUUGACACGAUACCGAAGUCGAGUUUUCUUUGUUUUUCACCGAAUCCAUUUUCGAUGCCACGAAUCUUCUUUUUUAGUUUCAGUCACCAAGUCGUUCUUUUUUUACUUUUGUUGCUAAAAGUAUACAGAACUUAGCUGAAUUAUAAAUUAUUUUGAUUUAAUUUUUCAACUUUUAAAAUUUAAAUUUUUAUUAUUCAAAUUUAAAUUUGUUUGAUUUAAAUCAAUCAACGAUAUCUUGACUUUAAAAUUUAAAUACGUUGUUUAUCUUUGCAAGUUUAGUUAGUUAGUAUAUUUCAUACAAUUCUUACAGUUAUAAAUUUAUUAAAGUAAAUAAUCAGCUUAAAUUUUAAAGUCAAAAUGUUGUUGACAGACUCAAAUCAAACAUAUUAAAAAGUUUGACAGUAAAAUCAAAGUUUUAAAAGUUUGGAUAAUAAAUUCAAAAUAAUCCGUAAUUCAGAUAAGUUCUAAAAGUUCUUAUCAAUUUUGUUUAUCAAAUUUGAGAUACCGUUUGAUUUAGGUAUUAGGGAGGGAAAAAUAAGCCACUGUUCCCCCACUAACACCAGAACGAGGGUUGAAAUGUUGCUCCCCACUUUUAAUAAAUUUUUUGAAAAUAACCUGCUGGAACAAGAAUUAAGAUAAUUAAUUUAAAACUCAUUAGCUAAUUAAUUUAUUCAUUAAUGUAGUUAAUAUGCUAACUUAUUUUGUAAUUAAUUAAAUCAUUCACUAGUAAAGCCAAGAUAUCGAUAGGCAAUUUAAAUAGUACAUAGUUCAGAUAAAUUAUAUAUAUUUUUACUAAAAAAAAAAAACAUAAAAACCAUAGCCCUAUUCGAUAAUAAGUACAUAUAUAAAGCACCUGCAAUAAAUUACUAUAAUUUGACUUUUUUUAACGCUAUUACUAAAAUACAACUCAUUCAACUUCGGAGUGGAUCUAUAAACGUCUAGAUAUUUAAGUUAUUAAUAUACUCAUUUAGUUCAUUUGAGCGGAUUUGGAAAAUAACUACUCAUAUAUUAUCUAUUUAAGAUCAGGUACAGAUCGGAUACGAAUUGAGUAUAAAUUGGGAACGAGUACCCAUAUGCUUAUCUAUGGUAUAAAAUACAAAUAUUUAUAUAUAAUUAAUAAGUUAAAAAUAGAAAUAUAAAAUUUUCAAACAUACGACCACCGUCCUGAACACCUAGAAUAAUAUAAUAGUUAAAAUUAUAUUUAUAAGUCCAAAUACAUAUAAUAUAAUUGCAUAUAAUUAACUAGUCAUAUAGCAUACACUGUAAUUUCAGAAUACAUGCACCUACUAAAAUAUAGUUAAAACACAUGCGUAAUAAGUCUGAAACAUUAUAGUGGAAAGAUAAGUAUCAAAAUUUUCAAAAUUUUAAUAUUUUUCUCCUUGUUUUAAUUUUCGACAAUCGAAUAUUUCAUCGGGUCUGGAUCCUGACAUGAAAACUAUUUCAGAUUCUGCCCACCAAAAGAUCAGGUCCUAGUUGACUUCAAGUCGAAUAUGGAUAUAACGUGUUCAGAUCUACAUCCGAAACUUCUUGACAAUUUUUCUUACUCAUAUAAUAUUCAUUUUUAAUCGGAUUCGCAUCGGAUUCAAAUAAGGUACGGGAUAUGGGGUAUUUUGGACAUCUAAAUUCUUCGGUGGGACCAAGCUAAGAUUUUUGUAUGAUCAUUCCAUUUGCAUAGUGCAGAUGGAAGAAAAAAAGACAAAAAAGGUUUGUGGGCCUUGUUGUGGAAAAUGUAGAUCACGAUUUGUUAAAAUUAUUUUGGGGGUGUUUUUAAUCAUAUUGAUUUGUAGCAGUAUUAAUGUAGUAUCAGAGUGACCUGUUCUAUACCGAAUUUGUUCCAAAUGAUCUUAAGUUCAAUUCCAACAUCUUUUACAAGUAAUUUUUUAUUCCACCACAGCACCACAUGUAUUGAAUUUGUGACAAACAAGUCACCCAAUUCCUUUGCACUUUAAUUACGAGGCCAUUGAUAUAAUAAUUAGGAUUAAUUGCAUAUAAGUCUUUACAAAUUAAUGUAGAGAAUUGCAAAAGUAUUUCUACAAAAUUCAACAUUCAUAUGUUGUCUCUGCAAAAGUUCUGAUGUUUUCAAAUAUGUCUCUGCUGUUAGAAUCCGUUAGAAAAAUUUAGUUAACCAUAGGUUAAAUACUUAAAUCUGAUUAAUUAAUAAGUGUCUGCGACCACGAAUGACGUACCUCGCACGGUUAAUCAAAUUUUCUGUUUUCCGUGGGGUAGUAUUCAUGAUUCAGAUUAAUAUUUGAAUAUGUAUAGUUAUCAGGUAUUGUGAAUUCAUGGCUUCCAAUAAACGCAAGCGUUUAUUGUUAAUUACCCCUACAAAGUGUUAGGGUAUCUUCGAUUAAGAGACCUUUGUAAUACUGAAAUAGACUAAAAUUGAAUAAAAGGUGGAUUUUAUAACACAAUCCGUUGUAUAGUUACAUGGCUUAACCAAGAGCAUACCCCCAGUGUACAUGAAUAUAACAUAAAAGAGAAAAUAAUUAGUUCAACGACGUGACGGUCGAUUGAACUGGGAUGCUCAAUUUAACGACAUGGCGGUCGAUUGGAAUUGGUUUGCUCAGUUUAACGACAUGGCGGUCGAUUGGGAUUUGGAUUUGCUCAGUUUAACGACAUGGCGAUCGAUUGUAAUUUGAUUUGCUCAGUUUAACGAUAUGGCGGUCGAUUGGGAUUUUGAUUUGCUCAGUUUAACGACAUGGCGGUCGAUUGGGUUGAAAUUGGAUUGCUCAGUUUAACGACAUGGCAAUCGAUUGGGAUUUGAUUUGCUCAGUUUAAUGACAUGGCGAUCGAUUGGGUUUGAUUUGCUCAGUUUAAUGACAUGGCGGUCGAUUGGGUUGAAAUUGGAUUGUUCAGUUUAACGACAUGGCGGUCGAUUGGAUUUGAUUUGCUCAGUUUAACGACAUGGCGGUCGAUUGGGUUUGAUUUGCUCAGUUUAACGACAUGGCGGUCGAUUGGGUUUGAUUUGCUCAGUUUAACGACAUGGCGGUCGAUUAGAUUGGAAUUGGAUUGCUCAGUUUAACGACAUGGCGGUCGAUUGGGUUUGAUUUACUCAGUUUAACGACAUGGCGGUUGAUUGGAUUUGAUUUGCUCAGUUUAACGACAUGGCGAUCGAUUGGAUUUGAUUUGCUCAGUUUAACGACGUGGCGGUCGAUUGGGUUUGAUUUGCUCGACUUGGACUCACCUUCAGCUUAAUUCUUAGUUUGGAGGACAUCAUGUAGGUGAAGGGCAAGUACACGAAAUGGACUUGACUUGGCAUACAUGAAUUUGAAGGUUUAAAUUCAAAAGUUUGAGUUUCAAGUUAAAAUUUUAGAUUUAAAUUUAAAAUUUAAGCUUGAGUUAGUUUUAUUUUGAAAUUGAAUUCUAAUUNAGAUAUAUAUAUAUAUAUAUAUAUAUAUAUAUGUUUGAUGCUAUAUGUGAAUUUGUAAUUUGUAUUUUAAAAUUUAGAUUUAAUGUAAUAUAUUUUGAAAUAUUGUAAAGAGAAAAAAUUGUUUUGGGUUCGAGCUUGGUUUCGAGUUCUGGAUUUUUGGUGGGGUUCGAUUUUGGAUAUAGAUUUUUAAAAUCCGUCAAAUUCGGAUUCGGGUUCAAGUUUUGGGUUUGGUAGACGGGUUUGGGUUCGGGUUUUUGAAAAUCUAUUCCAAAUCCGACCCGUUGACAUCUAAAGGUGUCCGUGGACCGAGUCGGGUCUGGAUAGUUGAUAUACUGUACCCGUACCCUAAAAAGAAAUUGUUAGAAAAAAAAAAAAACCCUACAUAUUUAAUUUCAGGUCGGGUCCGGAUCUGGGUACUUAAGUUACUAAUAUACUCAUCGGGUCUAUUUGAGCGGGUCUGGGUAGUGACUAUCCGUAUACUAUCCGUUCAAAACCGGAUACGAGUCGGGUACGGGUACCUGUAUAUAUAUUUUUUAUAGACUUUGUUAAAUUGUUUGGGCAAAAUUUGUUUCGGCCAUUAUAUUUACUGAUUAGAAGUAUAAAAUUCAAAAUAAUUUUAUAUGUAAACUUACAAAAAUUAAAAAAUUAUGAUACCAUAUUACAGAUAAAGAGAAUAUAAGUUGUAAUAAUUACUAAUAUUAUAUACUAACAUUCAAAAAAAAGGAGAAAAAAAUAAAGAUGAAUCAGAAAAUUUGUUAAAUAGAAUAUUUAUUAAAAAAAACUAGAUUGUCGACUAUGAUUGGAGAAAGAAUUUGAAAAUAAGAUCGUUGACCGGUUGUCCGAAUUUCCGAAAUGAGAUUUUUUCUAUUUUGAAUUCGAUAAUUUGACCGGAUUAGUCAACUUGGUCGGAUCGUAUUUUGGCACAUCUUUACUGCUAAAUAAUAUAAGAAGUACUAAAGGACAUAAAAACAAUUAGACAAUGGAGACCAACGAUGUAAUUAACGGGAACCAAAUAGCCUUAUUAAGAAACUGUCUACGUAGUUGCCGAAUAAACGAAGUAAAAUUAAAUUAGAGUCCCUCAACUUUCCGGAAAGUUUAUUUUACUCCUUAAACUUUUUAAAUUCAAUGUUUGGACACUGAAUUUCCAAAAAAAUUUUCACUUUUGUCUUCAUCUUAGCAGCAAUAAUUUUUGCCCUCUAAUAAUAAAUAUGGAUAAAAAGUAAAAUGAGCACUAUAAAAAGUUUAGGGUUUUAUUGCCGAGCAUAAAAGUUUAAGGAGCAAAAUGGAACUUGCCAAAAGUUCAGGGACUAGUAUUGCAAUUCACUCACUCAAAUUACAUUUCCCCACAUCUCCUUCUUAAUCUAAUGAGUGUUAAUGCAACAGCAACAUAAAGCCUAUCAUACGUACGGUCGAUCGCAGAGAAAUAAGUAUUUCUAAAUGAUCUACUUAACAAAAGAGCGCCAAAAAAAAUCCAAAAUCCUAUUAUAAAUCCUAACACCACGCUAAUGUAUAGCCCUAAUCUUUCAAACCGGUCAUGCGACUCUUUGCCAAAAACAAUAGUUGUUUCAUUAGUGGAGCAACUCUGCGUAGUUGGUGACCCGCAAAGAUAUGGAUUGCCAAUAUAUAUAGAUGGAUCGUUGAGAGUCUGCAUUUGAUUUCCUGAUGGAAUUUUUCCCGACAGAUUAUUAUACGACACAUUUAAACUGCUCAAAUAAUUCAGUGUAGCAAGACUUUGUGGAAUAGUCCCAGAAAGCUUGUUUAUUGCUACAUCAAGUGAUUCCAAUUCAUGCAUCUUGCCGAUUUGAUCUGGAAUAUGUCCUGUCAAAUGAUUCAUGGAUAAGUUUAGAUUUUGCAGUGCCUGUAAAUCUCCUAUCUCAUCAGGGAUCUCUCCAUAGAGAUUAUUACAGGAAAGGUCAAUGCUUUCGACAAGAUAAAGAAGUUUCGAAUAUUCCCGUGCCUCUCCUUUUACAACUAAAUAUGCAGUGCCAGCUAAGACAUCAAAGCUUCCAUAUCGAAAAAAUAGCAUGUGAUCUGUAGGAACCCCUUUUUUCCAACUUAAUUUUCCAAUAGAUCCGGGUAUAGUUCCAGAUAAGUUGUUGUGAGAAAGAUCUAAGACUCGUAGAAAUCCAAGUUGUGUGAUUUGCGAUGGGAUGCUACCUGAAAACCCAUUUGAGCGCAAGAUGAGCACCAUGAGAACCAAUAAGCUUUCCCCUAUCCAUUUAGAUAUUGUUCCAGAAAAAUUAUUAUUUCCAAGGUUAAGAUUAACUAACUGUCGACAAUAUUGCAAAGAAGAAGGAAUUUCCCCCGACAAGCGAUUAUUGCUUAAAUCCAGUAUCGAAAGAGCACGUAGUUUGCCGAGGGAGGUAGGAACAUUUCCAGAUAAAGUAUUGCUCAUCAUAUCAAGAACAAGAAGUUGAUCUUGCAACAUCCCUAGACACGAAGGAAUUUCUCCUGAUAGCUUGUUGUUCGAUAUAUCGAGAACUUGCAAUGAAGUUGAUUCACAUAAAGCGAAUGGUAGGUUGCCGUCGAAACUAUUAUUAGAAAGAAGCAAAUAUUGUAACCUUAAUAACGUAGCGUUCAGUAUCGGUCCCACAAAAAAAUUGUUGGACAAAUCCAAGAUAGAAAGAGUUUGUGGAAGAGCUGGCAAUGGGCCUUCAAGUUGGCUUGAGCUCAAAUUUAAAUAUAGUAGCAUGACAUGAUCCAGUGUCAAUGGUAACUUUCCUUUGAUUUGAUUAUUGGAAAUAUGUACAUAAGCUAAGGACCUGGACAUAUUCCAAAGCCAAUUGGGAAGGGUACCAACAAUUCCAUUUUUUGAUAAGCCAAGUUCUUCUAGUUGUGUCUGUCCUUGAAGCCAAGUAGGAAAUUUAGGUCCCAGAUUGCAAGAAGCCAAGUGAAGUGUUUUUAGUUGAAAAUGAGGAAUCCAAUCAUGACUAAUUUGCAAGUUAAAGGUGUUAUAUGCAAGGUCUAACCAUUUUAGCCUCUGCAAGUGAGAAAGUUGGACUUCUGUUAUAGUGCCCUCGAAGAAAUUACUUUGGAGAUAUAAUCUAGUUAAGUUAGUAAACCUCCAAACCCCAAGUGGGAUGGUCCCAUUUAGUGAAUUUCCACUUAGGUCUAUUUCAGUUAGGCUAGUCAUGUUCUCCAGCCAACCUGAUAAAUUACCGCUUAACUCGUUAUUCUUAAAAUACAGGUUUUGUAUAUUUUGUUGCGCGCAACUCGGCAGUCUCUCUGCCCAUUUAUUUAUUUCUCCACUAAAACCAACUCUACGCAAAUCCAAAGUAUUCAAGCUACAAAGAUUACUAAAUGCUUUCGGUGACAUGCCUUCAAAAUUAUUAGAUCCUAAAGAAAGAACAUUUAAGGACUUCAGGCAACUCAAUUCAUCGGGAAUAAAGCCAUGAAACUCAUUGGAAGAAAGGUCAAGAUGAGUGAUGCUAGUAAGAUUCCGUAGCCAUCUAGGCAAGGUAGAGUUGAUGUUGUUGCCUGCAAUGUUGAGGACUCCAAGGGUUGUAAUGUUAAGAUAUGGUAGGGAAAUGGGAAUUGUGGGAAGACUAGUCCAGCUCAUAUCAAGAUAUUUCAACGAUGGCAGCAUGUUUAUUGCUUGUAACCAAUAUGUAGCAAAACUCAUGUUAACGAAACUCAUAUUAAGAUAAUGCAAAGAAGACAUAUGGGCAAGCCACAAGAUAUUAUCAACUCUGAUAUUGGUAUCACAAUGGAAAGAACUGAGGUCGAGAUAAUGAAGUUUUGAGAGGUUUCCAAGUUGAGGCGGUACCAUUGCACUGAAACAAGCUCCAGAGAGGUUAAGAUAUCUCAAGUUUUUUAAAGAACCAAAGUACUUCGGGAUGCGAAUCUCGCUGAAGUUGUUCAAACUGAGAUCUAAGUGCUCCAAAUGAUUUAAGAGAAGCCAAGAUGGACUAAUCUUACCACCCAAAGCUGACGGUCUUUUACCAUAAUAAAGGUAAUCAAAAUUGUCGUAGGAGUUUCGCAGGUUGAGCUUCAAAAUGUGACCGCUUGUAUUGCUGCAAACGACUCCCUUCCAUGUACAGCAGUUUUGGCUUUUCCACGAGGCUAAGCGGUUGCGAGGAUCAAUUAGAUCUGCUUUGAAAGCUAGCAAUGCAUUUCUCUCGGUCUCGAAGCACCCGCUUGCCACAAAUGCUUGGAUGCCUAUGAGCAAAAGCAGAAAAAAAAUUGGAGGAGCCAUAUAUAUUGUCUCACGUUUUCUUUUUCUGUUUUAAAGAAAUGACAACUAACUAAGUUGGAAUUAAAGGCUAUGAAUUGAUCAUCAAAACUGGAGAAUAUAUAGUGAUCGAUGGCCCUGGUGCUUGGACUUGCAAAAGCAUUUAGACUCUUCAAAAAGUAUCUAUCUAAUUUGUUGGUUUUCUUUGAAUGAAAAUGGAGACUUUUACUAUUGCAAGAAUUUGUUACCUAAGUUAAAAUGGACCUACUAAAUAAGCAUCAUGAAGUAGAUCUGUAUUCAUGGUGAAGUUCCACACACGUGUGUAGACUUUUGGGUAUGCUUGGUUUGUGUUAUAGAAAUUUCUUAGAAUUUCUAGAGUUGUAUUAUCCGAAAACUGUAUUAUUUGCUAAAUUUUUACUGACGUGAACUGAACGAAUCCUAAAAGUCUUUAGACCUUUCCCAAAAAACACCUACUUGGUUGGUUUACUUUGAAUUAUUACAAGGAAUUUUACUAUUCUAUGUAACUGCCAACUUAAUUAAUAUGGUCCUAUCAAAUGAGCAUCAUAAUAUAAACUAAUCUAGAGGCAAAACAUAAGAUUUUGGGCCUUCCUAUGAAAAUGUAGUCAUAGGAAUCCUUUACUUUGAACAUGUGAGAGGAAAACACAUAAGAUUAUGGACCUUACUAAGAAAAAUAUAAACACAUGGUAAGAGUACUUCUAUAUUAUGUUCUAUCGGAUCGAUUUGAUGGAUAAUAUAUUUAAUUGCAAAGUGAUCAAUUCUUUACCCUUUUCUAGAUGCCUAAAUAAAGAUUAUUAUAUGAUCCUUCCUAUUGCUUAGUCAUAUUUUACCACAUUGAUGCAGUAGGAUUGUGGGCUUUUCUACGAAAAUGUAGAUAUUUGUUUCAUUUAAAUUUUAAUUCUCAAGUUUAAAUUUAAAUCCAAAUCAUAAAUUUAAUUUGUAUUUUGAACAACAAAAUUAGUUCUCAAGUUAAUUUCCAGUUUAAAAAUUUGAAUAUGAAUUUUAUUUAAAUGACUGUAUUGGUAACAAUUUUUUUUUUCCCACCCAAACAAUAAAAAAUAUAGGAUUGUUCCAAAUCCUGGGUGUCCCAUUCUUCUCCCUUCAAGUCUUGAUGUUCUCGUCAGGUUCAAGUACAACACUAAGCUAUCGCUAGGCUUAGCCGACGUUAUGGGGAGCAGCGUUCCACCCACAACGGUUGUCACCAGGGAGCCGCGCUUUGCCCCCCUGUACAAACAUAACUCAGUCGUGACUUAUGUUACACUUCUAGCAAGUCAUUGGCUCUGAUAUCAAUUGUGAUGCCCCAUUUUUCAGAGAGGUCGCCGAUCUUAGAGCUACUCUAACCCUAGCACAUUCAAUUCACUUAACCUUUUGGGACUAGCUAACGCGCAAAAUACUAUAUCGGACUAUUCCAAAUCCUGGGGUGUCACAGUAAAGUCGCAGAAGUCACCAAAUUUAUUUAGAUGGGAGAGAAAAAUUCCUAAAUUGCCGGUCUUCUCAUAGAAAAUGUACAUUCAUGUUUGUUCAGAUUAUUCCUGAGUUUUUUCUGUUAUAUCGAUUUGGUGGGUAAUGCCGUAUUAAUUAGAGUGAUCAAUUUGGUGGGUAACGUAGCAAUUCCUUUGCUACUGAUUUUUUAUUCCACCUCAACACCUCACAUAUUGACUUUGUGCCUGGUAAGUCACUCUCAUUUCAUUUCAGUUACGAGGACAUUAAUUUAAUAAUUAACAAAUUUUGCCUCGAUUUUUUUUUUAAUUACGCAAUACUUUUACCAAUAGUAGCAAUAAUUUCAGCUUUUUCAACAAUUAAUUAAUUAGAAAAAAAAUAUUAUUUGAACUAUUUAAUAAAAUUUACGGAGAAAUCGGGUAAUAAUUAAUUUGUGCGGCCUAUUUAUAAGGUCAACCUUCUGUACUCAAUAUGUUUAAAACCUAAAAAAAUAAAAAUAAAAAAUCGGCCCGACUUGACACGGCCCAUAAUUUUGUCAGUGCCCGACCGACAUGACCCACGUAACAUUCCUAAAUGUCAGUCUUUCAACUUUCUAGCAGAUUUUAUUCUAGGUCUUAAACUUUUUAAAUUCAAUAUUCGAAUAGCAAACUUUCAUAAUUAUCUAACUUCACAGUUGUAAUCUUAGAAAAUAAUAGUUUUUUUCCUCUAAACAUGAAUAAGAAGUAAAGUGAGCACUUUUCAAGAGUUUAGGGUUUCAAUUAGCGAGCAGAAAAAUUCUAGGAGCAAAAUGGAACUAGCCAAAAGUUCAGGGACUAGUGUUGCAAUUUACACAUCAAAAUUAAACACAGCUCCAGUGAUUCCAAAAACAGCAAUCAUUUCAGCACUGCAUGCUGUAAAUUGAAACACAAUAUUCAGUUUUUUCGAGCAUCAUAAAAUGCAACUGCAAAAAACUACACUUCCCCAAAUCUCCUCCUGAAUCUAAUGAGUGUUAAUGCAACAGCAACAUAAAGUCUAUCAUAUGUGCGGUCGAUCGCAGAGAAAUAAGAAAUUCUCAAUGAUCUACUUAACAAAAGAACACCACAGGAAAUCCAAAAUCCUAUUAUAUAUCCUAACACCACACUAACGUAUAGCCCUAAUCUUUCAAACCGGCCAUGCGGCUUUUUCCCAACAACAUGAGUUGUUUCAUUACUGGAGCAACUUUGCGUAGUUGGCGGCCCACAAAGAUAUGGAUUGCCGAUGUAUAUAGAUGGAUCGUCGAGAGUCUGCAGUUGAUAUCCUGACGGAAUUUUCCCUGACAGAUUAUUAUACGACACAUUAAGUGGCUCAAAUAAUUCAGUGUAGCAAGACUUUGUGGAAUAGUCCCAGAAAGGUUGUUCAUUGCUACAUCAGGGGACUCCGAUGCAUGCAUCUUGCUGAUUUGAUCUGGAAUAUGUCCUAUCAAAUGAUUCAUGGAUAAGUUCAGAUUCUGCAGUGCCUGUAAAUCUCCGAUCUCAUCAGGGAUCUCUCCAUAUAGAUCAUUGCAAGAAAGGUCAAUACUUUCGAAAAGAUAAAGAAGUUUCGCAUAAUCCCGUGUCUCUCCUUUUACGACAAAAUAUAAGCUGCCCAUGAGGCCUUCAUCACUUUCAUCUUCCAAAUACCGUAUGUAAUCCUCCGGAAUUCCUUUUUCCGAAGCAGUCAAACUAAAUUUUCCAAUAGAUCGAGGUAUAGUUCCAGAUAAGUUGUUGUGAGAGAGAUCUAAGAUUCGAAGAUACCCGAGUCGUGCAAUUUCCGAAGGAAUGCUACCAAAAAACACAUUUGAGCGCAAGCUGAGCACCAUGAGAACUGAUAAGCUCUGUCCAAUCCAUUCAGGUAUUGUUCCAGAAAAA
rnacentral:lncRNA from 1 species